AGCGAACGCUGGCGGCAGGCUUAACACAUGCAAGUCGAACGGGCACUUCGGUGCUAGUGGCAGACGGGUGAGUAACGCGUGGGAACGUACCUUUCGGUUCGGAAUAAUUCAGGGAAACUUGGACUAAUACCGGAUACGCCCUUCGGGGGAAAGAUUUAUCGCCGAUAGAUCGGCCCGCGUCUGAUUAGCUAGUUGGUGAGGUAAUGGCUCACCAAGGCGACGAUCAGUAGCUGGUCUGAGAGGAUGAUCAGCCACAUUGGGACUGAGACACGGCCCAAACUCCUACGGGAGGCAGCAGUGGGGAAUAUUGGACAAUGGGCGCAAGCCUGAUCCAGCCAUGCCGCGUGAGUGAUGAAGGCCUUAGGGUUGUAAAGCUCUUUUGUCCGGGAAGAUAAUGACUGUACCGGAAGAAUAAGCCCCGGCUAACUUCGUGCCAGCAGCCGCCGUAA
rnacentral:rRNA from 1 species